AUACGGAGGGUGCAAGCGUUGUUCGGAAUUAUUGGGCGUAAAGCGCGCGUAGGCGGCUUGGUAAGUCGGAUGUGAAAGCCCGGGGCUCAACCCCGGAAUUGCAUUCGAAACUGCCCGGCUAGAGUCUCGGAGAGGAGGGCGGAAUUCCCGGUGUAGAGGUGAAAUUCGUAGAUAUCGGGAGGAACACCAGUGGCGAAGGCGGCCCUCUGGACGAUGACUGACGCUGAGGUGCGAAAGCGUGGGGAGCAAACAGGAUUAGAAACCCCGGUAGUCC
rnacentral:rRNA from 1 species